rnacentral:lncRNA from 1 species
CGGGCUCCCGUCGCACAGCUGCAGGAGACCUGAGCGCCUGCGGGGCCCGGAGACCUCCAGGUUACUACAUUUCCCAGAGGGCUCGAGGGCAGCCUUCGAUUCUGAGCACAGGUCCGCUGCUCGCUUCCCCAGUCUCAGAGUGCGAACUGUUUUAAUCCAGGUUUCGCCUUUCCUCUCCUGCCUCUCAAAUCCCUGCAGAUCUCCUGGAAAUCCAGCACCAACCCCAUCUAGUCAGAAGGAGGAAGACGGCGCCGCAGAGCCCUCUGGGAAAUGUAGUUUCAGGACUGACUUCUGGGAAACGGAAUCAGAGGGAGGCGGUGAGCUUUCGCAGCCAAUUACAAGCGAGCUGGGGCGAGUCACGUGACGCGCCUUUGCUCGGAACGCUGAAAGGUGGAGUCUCGGGUUCUGGGCAGUAUCGCCUGCCACCUCCAGCCGUCGUCUUCUGUACUGGCGUCCCCAGUGCCUGCGCCAUUCUUGUCGAACACUGCACUGGCAGCAUACUUACCUACACUUGAGUUUAUCCCAGCUCUUCAAUGCAGGCUCUGUAGCACCUCGCCCUGCUCUUCUACCCAUGAAGUCUGAAACAAUCAGACUGAACCACUGAGCUGCUUUGUAAAAUUUAGUGAAUAAGCCAUUAAUCAGUAGUCUGAUCGCCUCAUCUUUGGGCACUUUUUCACGAUCUGUUCUCACUCCCCCACCUUGUCCUCACCCAUGUCUGUGUCACUUCAGAAACUAAAGUCCUAAGACCUCUCUACAUGCCCUUUAUUGGUCCCUAGUUUCAUUUCUUCCCCCAACCAACCUAGAUUCCAAGGAUCCUCACCUGUCUCCUUUUCCUUGUGUCAUUCAAACAUUAAAACAGCUGCCUGCUUUAUGUUAGCUAGGGGCUUCUGGAAGGAGAGAAACAGCGUUGUCUAAUUCUAACAGGUUGGUAGUUAGUGGAAAAAAAACUAAAUAAACCCCUCUGGCCUCAUUGACUAAAAUAUCACUAAUUUUGAAGGUCGCAGAAGCUGACCAGUACAUUAUUAGUCUCCCAAUAACUUUGCAGUAGAUAACACCUGAAUAUGGACUACUAUUAUAACAGUUGCCUAGGUUACUUUUCAGAGACUUGAAGGCUGCUUUUGCUGAAAACAGACUCUACGGAUGUCCGAUGGGUGACAUAAUGCAAUGAAAAGGUUUGACAUCUCUGCCUUUACUUUUUUACUGCCUUACUUUGAUUCAGAUUUCUACUAAACUCUUGAGUGUAGACAUAUGGAUUAUUUGAGAAAUGUUCUGUCCAAAAGUAUAUAGCUGGGUCAGUGUGACCUAGACUUUCCUAGCCUCUCUCCUCUCCCUUCAAGGUUAAAGAUACACCAGCCAACUGCCAUGACAGGAGACACCAGACCAU